ACCUACGGGACGCAGCAGUGGGGAAUAUUGCACAAUGGGGGAAACCCUGAUGCAGCGACGCCGCGUGGGUGAAGAAGUAUUUCGGUAUGUAAAGCCCUAUCGGCAGGGAAGAAAUUGGACGGGACCUGACUAAGAAGCCCCGGCUAACUACGUGCCAGCAGCCGCGGUAAUACGUAGGGGGCAAGCGUUAUCCGGAUUCACUGGGUGUAAAGGGAGCGUAGACGGCCAUGCAAGCCUGGAGUGAAAGCCCGGGGCCCCACCCCGGGACUGCUCUGGGAACUGUGCGGCCGGCGUGCGGGAGGGGG
rnacentral:rRNA from 1 species